UACGGAGGGUGCAAGCGUUAUCCGGAUUCACUGGGUUUAAAGGGUGCGUAGGUGGGCAGGUAAGUCAGUGGUGAAAUCUCCGUGCUUAACAUGGAAACUGCCAUUGAUACUACUGAUCUUGAAUUUUCAGGAGGUAAGCGGAAUAUGUCAUGUAGCGGUGAAAUGCUUAGAUAUGACAUAGAACACCAAUUGCGAAGGCAGCUUACUACAGGAAUAUUGACACUGAUGCACGAAAGCGUGGGGAUCAAACAGG
rnacentral:rRNA from 1 species